CUGGAAUGAUGUAAUUUAGCCAAAUCAGACAUGAUGUGCUCGCAAAAUGAAGUACCCUGUUUAAGUUAUUGCUACAUUUGGAGGCAUGAUCUGAUUGCUUCUAUGUAGCUAGU